UACGAAGGGGGCGAGCGUUGUUCGGAUUUACUGGGCGUAAAGGGCGCGCAGGCGGCUUUGUUUGUCAGGCGUGAAAGCCCCGGGCUUAACCUGGGAACUGCGUUUGAUACGGCAGGGCUAGAGUUCGGGAGAGGAGAGUGGAAUUCCCAGUGUAGCGGUGAAAUGCGUAGAUAUUGGGAGGAACACCAGUGGCGAAGGCGGCUCACUGGACCGGUACUGACGCUGAGGCGCGAAAGCGUGGGGAGCGAACAGG
rnacentral:rRNA from 1 species